rnacentral:rRNA from 1 species
UACGUAGGGACCGAGCGUUGUCCGGAAUCAUUGGGCGUAAAGAGCGUGUAGGCGGCCACUUAAGUCCUGCGUGAAAUCUUGCGGCUCAACCGCAAGCGGUCGUGGGAAACUGGGUGGCUAGAGUGCGGGAGAGGAGAGUGGAAUUCCUGGUGUAGCGGUGGAAUGCGCAGAUAUCAGGAAGAACACCCGUGGCGAAGGCGGCUCUCUGGAACGCAACUGACGCUAAGACGCGAAAGCGUGGGGAGCGAACAGG